rnacentral:rRNA from 1 species
UACGAAGGGUGCUAGCGUUGCUCGGAAUCACUGGGCGUAAAGGGCGCGUAGGCGGAUCUUUAAGUCGGGGGUGAAAGCCUGAGGCUCAACCUCAGAAUUGCCUUCGAUACUGGAGAUCUUGAGACCGGAAGAGGUAAGUGGAACUGCGAGUGUAGAGGUGAAAUUCGUAGAUAUUCGCAAGAACACCAGUGGCGAAGGCGGCUUACUGGUCCGGUUCUGACGCUGAGGCGCGAAAGCGUGGGGAGCAAACAGG